rnacentral:rRNA from 1 species
AGCUCCAAUAGCGUAUAUUAAAGUUGUUGCGGUUAAAAGCUCGUAGUUGGAUUUCUGUCGGAAACGGCCGGUCUUCGCUAUGCGAAUGUAUCUGGUUCGGUUUCGGCAUCCUCGUGGGAUACGCGGCUGCGCUUGAUUGCGUGGCGCGGAGUUCACGACUUUUACUUUGAGGAAAUUAGAGUGUUCACGGCAGGCAAGCGCCUUGAAUAUAUUAGCAUGGAAUAAUAAUAUAGGACUUUGGUUCUAUUUUGUUGGUUUCUAGGACUAAAGUAAUGGUUAAUAGGGAUAAUUGGGGGCAUUUGUAUUAACGCGUCAGAGGUGGAAUUCUUGGAUUGCGUUACGACAAACUACUGCGAAAGCAUUUGCCAAGGAUGUUUUCA